rnacentral:misc_RNA from 1 species
GAUGAAGAAUGUAGCGAAAUGCGAUAACUUAUGUGAAUUGCAGAAUUCAGUGAAUCAUCGAGUCUUUGAACGCACAUUGCGCCCCCUGGUAUUCCGGGGGGCAUGCCUGUCCGAGCGUCAUUGCUGCCCUCAAGCACGGCUUGUGUGUUGGGCUCCGUCCCCCCGGGGACGGGCCCGAAAGGCAGCGGCGGCACCGAGUCCGGUCCUCGAGCGUAUGGGGCUUUGUCACCCGCUCUGUAGGCCCGGCCGGCGCCAGCCGACAACCCAUCAUCCUUUUCAGGUUGACCUCGGAUCAGGUAGGGAUACCCGCUGAACUUAAGCAUAUCAAUAAGCGGAGGA